GACGAACGCUGGCGGCGUGCCUAAUACAUGCAAGUUGAGCGCUGAAGGUUGGUACUUGUACCAACUGGAUGAGCAGCGAACGGGUUUAGUAACGCGUGGGGAAUCUGCCUUUGAGCGGGGGACAACAUUUGGAAACGAAUGCUAAUACCGCAUAAAAACUUUAAACACAAGUUUUAAGUUUGAAAGAUGCAAUUGCAUCACUCAAAGAUGGUCCCGCGUUGUAUUAGCUAGUUGGUGAGGUAAAGGCUCACCAAGGCGAUGAUACAUAGCCGACCUGAGAGGGUGAUCGGCCACAUUGGGACUGAGACACGGCCCAAACUCCUACGGGAGGCAGCAGUAGGGAAUCUUCGGCAAUGGACGAAAGUCUGACCGAGCAACGCCGCGUGAGUGAAGAAGGUUUUCGGAUCGUAAAACUCUGUUGGUAGAGAAGAACGUUGGUGAGAGUGGAAAGCUCAUCAAGUGACGUAACUA
rnacentral:rRNA from 1 species